AAAUUCUCUGCAGAAACUCCACCCUCAAAAUCCUUUUGAAAAUGGCCUAAAACAUUUUGUAUCUUCUCAUCAAUGUAAGAGAGAGCAAUCUCAGGGUCUACGUUGUUGUCGUCAUCGUCGUCCCUGCACCGGAAAGCCUUUCCUUCCUCAAGCUCAGAAUUCUCCUCCAUCCCCAUAAAUCCCAAAGAAAACCCUAAUCCUAAAAACCUAAUCCUAACCCCAAAACCCUAAGCGAACCUUCCCUAAAGUCCAGCAUCACCUCAACUCCUACAGAAAAAAUCCCACAAAAGCACUCAAAAAACCCACCAGAACCGAGGAACUAAAUCCCCUACUACCGACUUUGGCCUUGGCAUAUCACAAACCCUCAUUGAUUAAUAAAUAUUAUGAACCAAGAACGUUGAUUAACGAUUAAUUUCUAUAUCGGAACUCACGAUCGGGAGCAGAGAAUUGAUUGGAUAAUAAAUCAGAGUUUAAUCGAGCUCGACUCGGCCGGGUCACGGUGCCGAGUUCGAUUGGAUUCUAAAAUA
rnacentral:misc_RNA from 1 species